rnacentral:lncRNA from 1 species
GCUAAGCCAGUAUUUGACUUUGUCCUUAAGUGAAAAAGAAAAUAGGGUCAGUCUAAGUGCAUCAUCAAUAAAAUUUUAAAUUUUCACCAUGGAUCAGAUUUCUAAGAACUCAUCUAGAUGCUUGUAAAGAUCUUCAUUGGUAUUCCCAUAGAAAGAUCGGAGUCUGUAAAUUGACUAUCUCAAUGCCCUUGAUCUCACAGCU